GAUGAACGCUAGCUACAGGCUUAACACAUGCAAGUCGAGGGGAAACGAUAUUGGAAGCUUGCUUCUGAUAGGCGUCGACCGGCGCACGGGUGAGUAACGCGUAUCCAACCUGCCCAUCACUUGGGGAUAACCUUGCGAAAGUAAGACUAAUACCCAAUGACGUCUCUAGAAGACAUCUGAAAGAGAUUAAAGAUUUAUCGGUGAUGGAUGGGGAUGCGUCUGAUUAGCUUGUUGGCGGGGUAACGGCCCACCAAGGCGACGAUCAGUAGGGGUUCUGAGAGGAAGGUCCCCCCACAUUUGGGAACCUGAGACACGGUCCAAACUCCUACGGGAGGCAGCAGUG
rnacentral:rRNA from 1 species